UGCUGUUUUUCACUCUUCUCUCUCUGGGUUCUGCUGUUUGGGACCAGGUACUGCUGCCUGGGACUGGCUGCUCGGUGUGGACGGAGCUCGUGAGGAAUUGCACUGACUGCCCCAGGUUUCAGCUGUCCCAUCCGCAUUGAUGGAUGUCCAGUCAGAUGUCAUUCACAGCCAGCAGCAGAGCAGCAGCGAGAAAACAGGUGUCCCAGAUGUAGAUGCCCAAAGACCACAAGGAAAAUGGAUGCUUGCUUUAAGAAGACUAUUUGCUGGGCACCAGCUGGUUGCCUGAGGUGGGGGACUGGCUGCCAUUCAAGAACUCGUGUAAUUGAAUUCUGCUUGUUCAAAGGACAGGCUACAUGAAAAUUGUGUCCAACUUUUU